CAGGUCUUGACAUAUACCCGGAUGUUCCAGAGAUGGAUCAGUCCUUCGGGACGGGUAUACAGGUGCUGCAUGGUUGUCGUCAGCUCGUGCCGUGAGGUGUUGGGUUAAGUCCCGCAACGAGCGCAACCCUUAUUCUUUGUUGCUAACGCGUUAUGGCGAGCACUCUAAGGAGACUGCCGGUGACAAACCGGAGGAAGGUGGGGAUGACGUCAAAUCAUCACGGCCCUUAUGACCUGGGCUACAAACGUGCUACAAUGGGCGGUACAAAGAGUUGCGAGUCUGUGAAGAGGAGCUAAUCUCAAAAAACCGUCCUCAGUUCGGAUUGGAGUCUGAAACCCGACUCCAUGAAGUUGGAAUUGCUAGUAAUCGCAUAUCAGCCAUGAUGCGGUGAAUAUGUUCCCGGGCCUUGUACACACCGCCCGUCACAUCACCCGAAUUGACUAUACCCGAUGUGGCUGAGCCAACCCUUCGGGGAGGCAGGUCCCUAAGGUAUGGUUGGUGAGGGGGAUGAAGUCGUAACAAGGUAACCAAGGGCGAA
rnacentral:rRNA from 1 species